rnacentral:rRNA from 1 species
UNUGGCUCAGGAUGAACGCUGGCGGCGUGCCUAAUACAUGCAAGUCGAACGCACAGCGAAAGGUGCUUGCACCUUUCAAGUGAGUGGCGAACGGGUGAGUAACACGUGGACAACCUGCCUCAAGGCUGGGGAUAACAUUUGGAAACAGAUGCUAAUACCGAAUAAAACUUAGUGUCGCAUGACACAAAGUUAAAAGGCGCUUCGGCGUCACCUAGAGAUGGAUCCGCGGUGCAUUAGUUAGUUGGUGGGGUAAAGGCCUACCAAGACAAUGAUGCAUAGCCGAGUUGAGAGACUGAUCGGCCACAUUGGGACUGAGACACGGCCCAAACUCCUACGGGAGGCUGCAGUAGGGAAUCUUCCACAAUGGGCGAAAGCCUGAUGGAGCAACGCCGCGUGUGUGAUGAAGGCUUUCGGGUCGUAAAGCACUGUUGUAUGGGAAGAACAGCUAGAAUAGGAAAUGAUUUUAGUUUGACGGUACCAUACCAGAAAGGGACGGCUAAAUACGUGCCAGCAGCCGCGGUAAUACGUAUGUCCCGAGCGUUAUCCGGAUUUAUUGGGCGUAAAGCGAGCGCAGACGGUUUAUUAAGUCUGAUGUGAAAGCCCGGAGCUCAACUCCGGAAUGGCAUUGGAAACUGGUUAACUUGAGUGCAGUAGAGGUAAGUGGAACUCCAUGUGUAGCGGUGGAAUGCGUAGAUAUAUGGAAGAACACCAGUGGCGAAGGCGGCUUACUGGACUGCAACUGACGUGNG